GCACCGGGGAUUAGUGGCGAACGGGUGAGUAACACGUGAGUAACCUGCCCUUAACUCUGGGAUAAGCCUGGGAAACUGGGUCUAAUACCGGAUAUGACUCCUCAUCGCAUGGUGGGGGGUGGAAAGCUUUAUUGUGGUUUUGGAUGGACUCGCGGCCUAUCAGCUUGUUGGUGAGGUAAUGGCUCACCAAGGCGACGACGGGUAGCCGGCCUGAGAGGGUGACCGGCCACACUGGGACUGAGACACGGCCCAGACUCCUACGGGAGGCAGCAGUGGGGAAUAUUGCACAAUGGGCGCAAGCCUGAUGCAGCGACGCCGCGUGAGGGAUGACGGCCUUCGGGUUGUAAACCUCUUUCAGUAGGGAAGAAGCGAAAGUGACGGUACCUGCAGAAGAAGCGCCGGCUAACUACGUGCCAGCAGCCGCGGUAAUACGUAGGGCGCAAGCGUUAUCCGGAAUUAUUGGGCGUAAAGAGCUCGUAGGCGGUUUGUCGCGUCUGCCGUGAAAGUCCGGGGCUCAACUCCGGAUCUGCGGUGGGUACGGGCAGACUAGAGUGAUGUAGGGGAGACUGGAAUUCCUGGUGUAGCGGUGAAAUGCGCAGAUAUCAGGAGGAACACCGAUGGCGAAGGCAGGUCUCUGGGCAUUAACUGACGCUGAGGAGCGAAAGCAUGGGGAGCGAACAGGAUUAGAUACCCUGGUAGUCCAUGCCGUAAACGUUGGGCACUAGGUGUGGGGGACAUUCCACGUUUUCCGCGCCGUAGCUAACGCAUUAAGUGCCCCGCCUGGGGAGUACGGCCGCAAG
rnacentral:rRNA from 1 species